GUCAGAUUCGUUAACCACUGCGCCAUGACGGGAACUCCCACAUGUCCUUGAUGUAAAUGACUGUGCUGGAACAGGCUGCAGGGUGGGGUGGAAACUUGCCCUGCUUGUCUCACCACCAGCAGGUGCCAAGGAAUUUACACACCUGUGACCUCUGUGGGCCUUCAUGCAGGAGGGAUAGCAGGGGCACAAGGCUGGCCUGUGCCCUAACCAAUAAGCACCUCUGGCCCAGGACCCCAAAGGGAGUUGAGGGAGGCAGUGGGAGCUCAGGUGCCUUUGGUGGGGGAGGAUUUUAUUUAAAUAGUGGUUCUAGUGUGGGACCAAAAGACGCAGAGCUGGGUCUUGGAGCAGCUUCAUCCCUGCUGAGCCUCAGUUUCUCCUCUCCAGGUGACCCACAGGAGCUCCCCCUGCCCUAACAUGAGGUGUUUGACAGUAGACAGGGUGACUGUGUUCUAAAGUGGUCCAGGGGCAAAGCAUGGGGAGAGGGUGGAUUUGUUCAGGGACAUAGCCCUGGAGAACAAGCUGGGCUCAGCUGCCAGGCCCAUGCCCUGGAUUAUGAGCAAAUUGAGUCACCCAUCUUGGCUCUGGUUGUGCCUUCCAUAGAUGAAGUCUGAGGAAGGCUCCAAGAAAGCCUGAACCCAAGGCUGAGUCCCCAAGGCUGAGUCCCCAAGGAUUCAGGGGUGAUGGAAGGACCCUUAGAGAUGAUGCAAGGCAGUGGGCAGAGAGACCCAGCUGCCUCCCUGUGCCGUCACCUCCAGAGAAAGGGCAGAGGUGAGCUUUCUUUGGCUGGUUCUACCAAAUAUGGCAGAUUGAAUGAGGAAAGGUCUUGGGCUCUGGUUUUUCCAGUCACUCCUAUGGUGUCCCCAUGAAGGUCCCUGGAUGGGAGUGGAACCGAUGAAGAGUGAGGAUGUCCAGGUUGCCAUGGGCAUGCACCUUCCCCAGGACUAUGGCAGCUCCCCAGUAUUUUAAUCCUCUCCAAUGGUUAUCAGCUAGUACUUCUCCCUUUACAAGUCUCAACAGCCUGGCCUGAAGACAGUCCUCAGUUGGUGCAGUGCUUCAGCCUCACUCCAGAGAGCCCCACACACUCCCUGGCUUCUCUCAGGGUCAGUGCACAUUCACUGCAGGACCCUUCUAUCCAUGCUCUCGCUGGGCCUUCCCAACACUUCCUGAACUGGAGCCUCUGGACAGAGUCACAGGAGAGUCCCAGGGCAGCUUGGACAGCUGGGUCAGACCUUUCAACACAGCCGUAGAGCAGACAGGAGCCUUCACGUUAGACAGGGAACAAAUUGACAGCCAAAGUCAGUGCAUCAUUUACAGAAGAGGUACUUGGAACCAAGUCACCACGUGCCAUGUAGGUGCUCAGGGAGGCUGAUGGAGAUGACCACCUGCAGGCAGGUGAGUCCACGGCCCAGUGAUGACCUCUCUCCGCUGCUGCAGGAGUCCCUUCAGCUGCAGUGAGUACACUGGUGUCCACUUCACAAGUUGGGUUGGCAAGCCGGGACUCCAGCACCUCCAUGAGCCGGCCGACGUCAGAAGCAGCCAGGUGGCACCCAGUUCGAGAUACCCUCCAUAUUUCUGGUCCCCAUCUCUUCUCCAGAAUGAGGAUGCUCCUUUCAAGGAUGAUGAUCAUGAGGAAGUGGUACAAUCAGCCUCAAUCAGGACUUCAUGAUCACCAGGCAGGGCCAGAGAGGAGAGAGGCCAAGGGAGAGCUCAUUGACAGCCCACAGAUGGCCUUCUGACAAGCUGAAAAGGGUCACCCCAGUUUUUCCCUUGAGGGCCUGGACUUGGAUAGUUAUUAAAUGACUUCUCAGUGAGCAGAUGUGUCCAGGUCACACAGUGCAACAGCCCAUUUCCCUCCCACUGCAGCCCUGGCCCUGCAUGCAGUGCUGCAUGCAACCUCUCAACGCCUGCUUCCUACCCAGCCCUGCCACCUGCUGCUCUCCAACUGCUACUCCUUGUUCUGUCCCCUAGAAAUGUCCUCCUCCAGCCCACUGGGUCCUCGGCUGCUCCAUCUUCGCAGGCCUGGCUCCCGUGAAGCCAAGGCAGGAGCCUCCCUGCCUUCCAGCCCUUCUCCAGGGCCCCAGCUCUGGCCCCAUCAUAUUACUUGUGUGUGGCAGGUGGGUGCUUGCUACCUCCUGUUUGCCAGACACUCUGCUCACAGCCUUUCCCUGGACUGGCAUCCAUAGCAGUGGGAGACAAGAGUGGAAGCAGGACAGCUCAGGAUGGGCCAGACUCUGAAGAGCCCUGGGUGCCAGGGCACAGCUGCAUUUAAGGCUGGAAAUGCCUGGAGCGUCUGUGGAAACAGAAGCCCUUCAGGCGUGCCCAGGACAGGGAAACUAUUAAAGAUUCUUAGAGAUAGAAAUAUUCAUAUCUUCGGGUUAUCUCCCGGAUUACAAUGUUUCCUCACCUUAGGUGCAUUUUUCUUCUCAUGAGAAGAAAACAAGAGAAAGGAUUACAUAAUGCUGUUUCCUAGAAAUGCGGAGCAAUACUACUGUGCAGUGUUUCAAGUAUGACCAUGAAGAUUGUCCCCCCUCAUGUGCUUAGAAUUUUCAAAUAUUGGGAUUUCAAAAAUAGAAGAUAAUUAUAUGGAAAUAAACUAUGGUGUAUGGAGCUUUGGUGUUAAGUAACCUCAUCUUUAGAGACAUUGGGGAUAAUAUCCUGGCCUCCAUGCUGACUUGGCUAAUAAUUCCCACCUAGUGAUGGGGAAGGAUUCACAGGAGGAAAAAAGCCCUAUCAAUCUGGAAUUGGUUACCCAGCAAAGGUAUCUUUCAGAAACGGAGGUGAAGUAAAGUUGUUUUCAGAUGUGCAAAAUCUGAAAGAACGCAUCACUAGCAGACUGUUACUACAUGACAUGUUAAAAGAAGUUCUUCAAGCAAAUGGAAAAUGACACCACCUGGAAAUCUUUACAGUGGGAUAAAGAACACCUGGAAAGGCAGCUAUUGUCUGUUUCUCUACGAUGAAAAUAACAAGGAGGAAACGGAGGCACAGAGAGACUUGCUCUUCCUUUGACAUCUCGAUGCUGCUAUAUUCAAACCUGGAUUAAGUGUGAGUAAGUCAGAGGGAGGGGAACUGACAUUUGGGGGCCAGCCUUGGGCCCUGCCCCAUGCUGUGUGCCUUUUCUUAUGUGAGCCUCAGGACAGCCUAAUGAACCAGGACUGUCUUCUCCAAUUAUGAAGGGACAAUGUGGAGUAGUGGUGAGGAGCAGAGAUCCUCUGGAGCCAGGCGACCCGGGACCAAAUCAGAAGAAAUAGGAGAAGGAUAAAUAGGAAGUUGGAGUCUUGCCACCCGACAAGCAUCUUUUUUGCAGUCAUUUGUUAUGUGUGUAGACAGAGACUGCACACAUAUAUUUUAAUGUUUUAACAAAGCACAGUUUUCUUCAGAGCCCAUUUGGUUCACCCCUUGGCUUACUCCUUGCUUGGAGCAAGGGUUUUGCAUCAUCCUCAGGCCAGUUUUACUCCACUUCGGGCCUUCUAUGGACUCCCCCAUGGAACACACACUUGUCCCAGGACUCAGUGUGGCCUCUGGUGUGCAGUAUGCUGAGUGGCCUGGCCUGGGAGGAGGAAGAUGGAAGGGACUGCAGAAAUGACUGGCCACAUGACUCAGUUCUCUGAGAAUCCCUGGACAAGAUGCCCUACUCAAUACUUCAGUGCGGAGGACAGCUUGCUUUUACUUGCCUGUGGCCAGGAAUAUGGCUGAGCAGGUGUCUACACAUGGAAUAGCCUGGGUUUUCCUCUAGGGCUCAGGAUGGGGUGUUGGAAGGCAAACAGUGGGUUUAACUCUUGUGAGUUAAUUCAUAUUCUCAUCCCAGCAACCAUGGACUAAGUUUGGAGUCAUGGGCUCUGCUUUUGGGCCAGCACGCACCUGUGCCACCACCCUCUGGCCACACACUAGCUGUGUUAGUGAACAGACAGCAUCUGGGCUGUUCCCUGCGAGGGGAUGGAGAACUGAGCCUUUUCUUGUGGCCUGUGGGUGACUCCCUGCAGCCACUAGGAGGCAGUAUGUAAGAGGGUGGUGCUGUGCCACUAUUUCCACAGAGACUGCAACCCUGGUUUGCUCAUGUGAGUUACUGCUCUCCACUGACUCACUCGGCUAGAACAGGGAUGCACAACAGAGUGCUGAAAGCCCGUUGGCCCUCCUCCCAGAACCAUGCAGGACAUCCUGUGUCUUUACCCAAACAAGUACUGAGAAUUGGUCACUGUCUCCUUUGCUUGCUCUUCUUGGAUACAUCUGCUGACCUGCUCCCUAAAUUUAGUGUAACCCUCACGCACUAGAAAUGGUGACAGAGAGGAGAGAGUUUUCUGUUUAUAGAGAUAAGAACUAGAGUAUACAUUUGUUAACUUCAAAGAAUUUUAAAAGUUACUGCCUAUAACCAUGGAUGGUGACAGGACUCCAUGCAUAGAAAAUUAAAAUAAUUUUGUCCUCUAGGAUGCCUAUCUGGCAUUUUUCUGAAAUAAAUUUGGCUUUUAAAAACA